rnacentral:lncRNA from 1 species
AAGAAUUCAUAUUUUUUUGAUGAAAAUGUCCAUAGUGCUGGACCGUUCCCAUUUUGUGCCAAGCCGUAUGCCCAAAGUGUCGGACCACCCCUAUUUUGUGUCGAACCGUAUGCUUUAUAGAAACUCGAAGUGUGGGACCGUUUCCAUUUUGUGUCGGAUCGCAUGCCCAAAGUGUUAGACGACCCUUAUUUUGGGCCGGAUUGCAUGUUUUCUAGAAGCCCAAAGUGUCGGAGCGCCUCCAUGUUGUGCCGGACCAUAUGCUAAAAGUGUAGGACUGCCCCUAUUUUGUGUUGGGCUGCAUGUUUUCUAGAAGUUAAGUGUUGGACCGCCCCCAUUUUGUGUUAGACCACAUGCUUUUUUUAGGGUAUUUUGGUCUUCAUUUUACCUUCUUUUUUACUUGGGGGGCUAUUUGCUAGGAAGUUAAAUUUAGGAAAAAAAUUACUAAAAAAAUCUUGGUUGGAGGGAACUUGUCUAAAAAGUAUGAUUUUGGGGGACUUUUGUAAUUUUUCCUUUUAAAUAAUACACUUUUCACUUUGAUAAAUAAUUACAAAAAAAAUAAACUUUAAAAAUGCACCCUAAAAAAAUGUUUUUUAACCUACUUAACAUAAGCUAUCUGUUUGGCUUUUCUAAAUUUUGUAGAGGACAUUAGAUUAACCGUAUUAAAAAGGAUAAAAUUUACUAAAUGAACUACGAAAUUCAUUAUUAGACGGGUGAUCAGUUUGACACUACGUAAUGCAUACUGAUUUUUUUUUCUUUUUUUUUAAUUCAUUAUUAGGCCCGAAAUUGCCUUGCAACUAAUCCAAUUUACCUUGUCCGACUUGGGUUAUUUUCAAGUAGGUUGGCGACAUAUAUCAUUAGAAAUUCAGAAUAAAAUGUAAAAAAUUGGGGGAACUUUGAAGUUCCUCGAAACAAAAGGGCCCACCCACUGAUCCCGAUCUUAAUCAACGACUUUUAAAACAAUACUCAAAUGUCGUAUUGUCUAGUUGACUUUUACGGUACCUUAAGACCAUAGUUAUAUGUUAUGCCUAAAAUGUCUUUUUCAUACUUGUAAAUGAAAAGUAGAUUGUUUACUCUGAGACUAUUUAUUUUUUAUACAAGGAGUUCACAAUCACUUUUUAUCAUUAGAUGUGAAAUUCAAUAGAUGAAAUUGUAUCACAACAUUCAAUAAAUUUUGUAUUAGACUUUGUGCCUCACACCUCUAACCACUCGAUCUCAAAUCUAACAGUCAAUGAUAUUUGUGACCUUUUAUAAAAAAUAAAUGAUCUCAUUGUAUCCAUUUUCAAUAAAAAAUUGAAACUAUGGUAGAACUAAUAGUAUGUAUUUUAAGUAAAUAAAAUCUGGUACAAAAAAUGCUAAAAAAUCUCAUCAAAAUUAAGAAAAUAAAUGGCAAAUUUGGUGAAACAAAAGCAAAACUUAAGUAAAUGUCACUAAUAUUGUUUGGGACUAGUGUUAAAGACUGCAAUGGAGAACCAUUGGAUAUGAUCACUGCACGUCAAAUAGUAGAUAUUCGCAAAGUAAAUUCUCCCUUUUUCUCAAUGAGGAUUUGGUCCCACACUUUUUUGUGAGAAUGGAGUCAGAGAAUUCACUAUGAAGCUCCGCAAAACUACCACCAAGGCCUAAGCGAUUCUCAAUUUUCCAUGAACUUUUUCUCUCUCUCAUACAUUGUAAGCUCCAUCUCAGUCACAUGCAAAGUUUUCAUGUGAUAGAAAAUUCUCCCACCCAUGCAUCUCAUCUCUCUCUCAUUUUGAAUAAGGGUGGCAAUAGGC